UAUAGGCUCCCAGAUACCACCAGCAGAAUGCAGUGAGUGUUCCCAUGUCCACAGAACUGGGAAGAUGAUGUCUUUCUGUGAUGUCUCAUCCAAUCAUAAGAAUUUUUCUGAUGGCUGCUCUCAAUUUUACGUGUUCCAGUCCAGGCAACAAAGAAGGAAUAAACAUGAAGGAACCAGUAUCUCUGUGGUGUGAUCUAAAAUCUUCUGGGUAUAUGGAUGGCAUGAUAUUGGAGUCAGAUUAGGAAAUCCCUGAGCCAACAGCCUUUGCCCUUGAGCAAUAAUGGACUCUGCCUUUUUAAAAGAAAGCAUUCACAUCAAUAUUCUAACACAAGAAUAGGGUGUCUCUAUUUAGUCCUGGAGGUCCUGGAACUUGUUGUGUAGUCCACAUAGACCCUGAACUCAAAGUGAUGACGGUAUUACAAGAAUACACCACUAUGGCCUACAGAAAUGACCAUUUAUGAGCACUAAAACUAAACGAAAUUUUUUUUUCCGAUAAGAUUAUACUUGAACUGAUAUGAUUUUUCUACGUGUGCAUGAGGAAAGUAUCUAAAGGCAAUUUUACCACUUGGCCAGCUAUAUUCAUUUGUAACUGUUGCACAAAGAAUGAAUUAUUGUAUCACACCCAUUUCAGUACCAAUUAAAAAAGCAGAAACGUGCGAACGUAUUGUUGUGCUUAAUGAGGUCUGUUGGGAUUCUACUGUGUCUGAUAACAUGCUGGGUAAACAAAGAUGGAAAAAUGUACUCUCUCCCUAAAGUCUACCAGAGAGAGAAGAGAUACACUAGAUGACAGCUACGGUGUCAUAAGCAUGGUGAUGUCAUGAGUAUGUAGGAGGAGGUGUGAUCCUUGAGAGGAAUUAAGGAAGAUGUCAAGAUAGCGUGACAACUGGGACAUAACAGGUGGAUGAUGGCUGCAGCCUUGCUGCUCAACAGGAACCGUGGUGUGAACCGCAGGAAAUGCACAUGAUGCCAAAGCAAAGCAUCGGCCAAA